UUUUUUUAAUGCAUUUCCCAUCGGCUAAGGACGAAAUGAUUAAAAUUUGGUUGAAUUUGGUUAAAAAUUGAACGAGAAAUGAACAACAUUGUGUCUUGCUUUUCCCGCUCAAUUAAAAAUAAAAAAAACUCACUGAAUGCGUAAUUAGGACGUCUAUAAUGUAUGCACACAGUACUAAGACAAUAAUGAGAUGAUAAACCUCAUUAAGCUUCAGCCUUCAUUAUCUAUCGUCUUAGUUGCAUUUCACACGACCGAAAUUCAAUGCAGGCGGAGGGGUAUGCAGUCUCUGAGUGCCCUCUAGUUUUCAUUGAAAUGUUUAUUGAUCCUUUUUGCUGUUUGCUUCGUAAGGUGGUGGUGGGGCAGACGGUGCAAAGUUGCCCUAAAAAUACAAAAAAUUAAAUUCACUGAUUUACUGAAAUGACAGCCGUAUAAACACGGAGUGAUAGCUUAUAUACUUGUAAAUAUUGAAAUAUUUCGGUCGUUUCGGCAGUUUUUAUUGAAAGAUUUUCAGCAUAUCAGCAAUAUGAUACCUUACUUCCAACCACCCCCUGCGUGCAUAAAUUAAAAGCUGGAAUCGGCCAAUUAAGAAAUCAUUACCGAAUAGAAAUUCUAAAAUUAACAGCGAUUACUUCUGAUCAACUCGGUUUAAUAAACAACAAAAUAUAUAUACUUAUAGUUACUAUAGUCAUACAAUUAUUUGUAAAGAAAUUAUCCGUUUGUCCGCUAUAUACGACAAAUAUCAAUUAAUAUGCAUUAUCCAGUAGCAAAAUGUGCAAGUAAAGAUAGCAGCCAUGCAAUGACGGAUGCGUCAUAAGAACUAAGGUUUAAGCUGCAGAAUUACUAAUUUACUUCAUAAUAGAUAGAUAGAUAGAUAGAUAGAUAGAUAGAUAGUUUAUUUCAUAUAAACAUUGCAGCCAAUAGGCUGAAUUACACUUAUAUUUACAAGUUAAGAAAAUAUUAAAAUACUAUACAACUAAAUGUCUCUAAAAGGAUCUAAGAAUGGCUAAUAAUUUUAUGAUGAAUAAUUUAUUGCAUUAUGUAUAAUAAAACUAUUUACAAGUUAUCAAAAUUUGUAUCGUGAUGUACUAGAACUAGGGAACACACCUGAAUAUACAAUGUUUCUGGUUUUUGCAACAUGCCAGUUCAUAGUGACAACUGACGCGUUCUACGUCAUCAAAAAAUUACAGUUUAACAUAUAGAUGAGAUUGGGAAGAUUUAAAAAUAUGCAUAUCAGAGUAUUCAACUGUUUAACCAAUCAUUUGUGUUUUAUAUAUACACCGACAAUAGAGGCGUUCGUUCAAUAAUUAUACUAGCAUAUUUUGUCUGAUGUGUAUAUAGCAAAAUAAAGAAAGUAAAAGUAAAAAAUUGUUUUAAAGAACCAUGUCCAUGCAGAUAUACACUGGCCGUGAUUCGGCAACGAGACUUUCCAGUUUUUGAAAGUAAAUAAAACCGUCUAUGAAAGGAAAUUUUGAAAGAUAUGUGGACCAAAUAACUCAAAAUGUCAUGCCACAUCUAAAUAUUGGAAAAAUUUUAACCAGGAUCAAAGUUAUCUGUCAGUGGAUAUAGAAAAAUCAC
rnacentral:lncRNA from 1 species